UACGUAGGGAGCGAGCGUUAAUCGGAAUUACUGGGCGUAAAGCGUGCGCAGGCGGGUUGGAAAGCCAGAUGUGAAAUCCCCGGGCUUAACCUGGGAACUGCGUUUGGAACUGCGAGGCUAGAGUAUGGGAGAGGGAGGUAGAAUUCCACGUGUAGCAGUGAAAUGCGUAGAGAUGUGGAGGCAUACCGAUGGCGAAGGCAGCCUCCUGGCCUGAUACUGACGCUCAUGUACGAAAGCGUGGGGAGCAAACCGG
rnacentral:rRNA from 1 species